CAGUCGCCGCGGUAAUACGAAGGGUGCAAGCGUUACUCGGAAUUACUGGGCGUAAAGCGCACGCAGGCGGUCUGACAAGUCAGAUGUGAAAUCCCCGGGCUUAACCUGGGAACUGCAUUUGAAACUGUCAGGCUGGAGUCUUGUAGAGGGGGGUGGAAUUCCAGGUGUAGCGGUGAAAUGCGUAGAGAUCUGGAGGAAUACCGGUGGCGAAGGCGGCCCCCUGGACAAAGACUGACGCUCAGGUGCGAAAGCGUGGGGAGCAAACAGGAUUAGAUACCCCAGUAGUCCCUGUCUCUUAUAC
rnacentral:rRNA from 1 species